rnacentral:rRNA from 1 species
UACGUAGGGUGCAAGCGUUAUUCGGAAUUACUGGGCGUAAAGCGUGCGUAGGCGGUUUGUUAAGUCUGUUGUGAAAGCCCCGGGCUCAACCUGGGAAUGGCAAUGGAAACUGGCGAGCUAGAGUACGGUAGAGGAGAGUGGAAUUCCCGGUGUAGCAGUGAAAUGCGUAGAGAUCGGGAGGAACAUCAGUUGCGAAGGCGGCUCUCUGGACCAGUACUGACGCUGAGGCACGAAAGCGUGGGGAGCAAACAGG